GGUACUGGGAGUUGAGAUUCUCCUAUGUGGGGGUGGAGGGCAAUAUCUUGACAGAUCCUGAGAUGGGGUCUAGAGCACUGGGAACUGGGCUUCUCUUAUGCAGGAGUGGAGUAUGGGGUGGUCAGCUCCUGUGUACACAGCAUCUGCCAGUAAGAGGGAUGUCAACUCUCUUCUAACCAGCAGCUUCUAUACUCUCCUCUUCCACAUCCCAUCACUGACUACAAAGCUUAAUAGCCAAAUAUCUCCUACGCUGACAUAAGCCAUUAUUGCUUUCAUCUAAUACUGUGGCCUCUCAGAAGUCUUCCCCAGCAUCUUGGACAACCAGCUCUUUGCUCAAGACUCCAGAAAGACUCUGAAAACAGAUACCGGCGUGCCUUACUCUUCAGCAAUGCAAGCACUCCUCAAAUGCC
rnacentral:lncRNA from 1 species